rnacentral:rRNA from 1 species
GUGCCAGCAGCCGCGGUAAGACAGAGGGUGCGAACGUUGUUCGGAAUUACUGGGCGUAAAGCGCGUGUAGGUGGCAUCGCAAGUCGGAUGUGAAAGCCCGGGGCUCAACCCCGGAAGUGCAUUCGAUACUGCGGAGCUAGAGUCUCGGAGAGGAUGGUGGAACUCUCGGUGUAGAGGUGAAAUUCGUAGAUAUCGAGAAGAACACCGGCGGCGAAGGCGGCCAUCUGGACGAUGACUGACACUGAGACGCGAAAGCGUGGGGAGCAAACAGGAUUAGAAACCCGUGUAGUCC